rnacentral:rRNA from 1 species
UACAGAGGUCUCAAGCGUUGUUCGGAUUCAUUGGGCGUAAAGGGUGCGUAGGCGGCGCGGUAAGUCGGGUGUGAAAUCUCGGAGCUUAACUCCGAAACUGCAUUCGAUACUGCCGUGCUUGAGGACUGGAGAGGAGACUGGAAUUUACGGUGUAGCGGUGAAAUGCGCAGAUAUCGGGAGGAACACCAAUGGCGAAGGCAGCUCGCUGGGACGGUACUGACGCUGAGACGCGAAAGCGUGGGGAGCAAACAGGG